rnacentral:tRNA from 1 species
UAGGGUAAUAGUUAAUUAUAACAUUUAACUUGCACUUAAAAAGUAUUGACUUAGUCAAUUUGCCUUAA